CUAGCGGCGGACGGGUGAGUAACACGUAGGCAACCUGCCCACAAGACAGGGAUAACUACCGGAAACGGUAGCUAAUACCCGAUAUAUCCUUUUCCUGCAUGGGAGAAGGAGGAAAGACGGAGCAAUCUGUCACUUGUGGAUGGGCCUGCGGCGCAUUAGCUAGUUGGUGGGGUCAAGGCCUACCAAGGCGACGAUGCGUAGCCGACCUGAGAGGGUGAUCGGCCACACUGGGACUGAGACACGGCCCAGACUCCUACGGGAGGC
rnacentral:rRNA from 1 species